GCUCCAGUGGCCUAGUGGUUAGAGCGUCUGCCUCAGAUGCGGGAGAUCGUGGGUUCGAUCCAUGGUAGAGUU